rnacentral:rRNA from 1 species
GUCUACGGCCAUGCCACCCUGAACACACCCGAUCUCAUCUGAUCUUGGAAGCUAAGGAGAGUCAGGCCUGGUUAAUAUUUGGGUGAGAGACCAUGUAGGAAGAUCAGGUGCUGUAGGCA